rnacentral:rRNA from 2 species
GAAAAGCUUGCUUUUCAAAACUUAGCGGCGGACGGGUGAGUAACACGUGGGCAACCUGCCCUUGAGACGGGGAUAACUCCGGGAAACCGGAGCUAAUACCGGAUAACACAUAUCUUCGCAUGAGGAUAUGUUAGAAGGUGGCUUUUAGCUACCACUCAAGGAUGGGCCCGCGGCGCAUUAGCUAGUUGGUGAGGUAACGGCUCACCAAGGCGACGAUGCGUAGCCGACCUGAGAGGGUGAUCGGCCACACUGGGACUGAGACACGGCCCAGACUCCUACGGGAGGCAGCAGUAGGGAAUCUUCCGCAAUGGACGAAAGUCUGACGGAGCAACGCCGCGUGAGUGAUGAAGGUUUUCGGAUCGUAAAGCUCUGUUGUUAGGGAAGAACAAGUAUCUGUUGAAUAAGCAGGUACCUUGACGGUACCUAACCAGAAAGCCACGGCUAACUACGUGCCAGCAGCCGCGGUAAUACGUAGGUGGCAAGCGUUGUCCGGAAUUAUUGGGCGUAAAGCGCGCGCAGGCGGUUCCUUAAGUCUGAUGUGAAAGCCCACGGCUCAACCGUGGAGGGUCAUUGGAAACUGGGGAACUUGAGUGCAGAAGAGGAGAGCGGAAUUCCACGUGUAGCGGUGAAAUGCGUAGAGAUGUGGAGGAACACCAGUGGCGAAGGCGGCUCUCUGGUCUGUAACUGACGCUGAGGCGCGAAAGCGUGGGGAGCGAACAGGAUUAGAUACCCUGGUAGU